rnacentral:rRNA from 1 species
UACGUAGGGCGCAAGCGUUGUCCGGAUUUAUUGGGCGUAAAGAGCUCGUAGGCGGUUUGUCGCGUCGGCUGUGAAAACCCGGGGCUCAACGCUGGGCCUGCAUUCGAUACGGGCAGACUAGAGUAUGGCAGGGGAGACUGGAAUUCCUGGUGUAGCGGUGAAAUGCGCAGAUAUCAGGAGGAACACCGGUGGCGAAGGCGGGUCUCUGGGCCGAUACUGACACUGAGGAGCGAAAGCGUGGGGAGCGAACAGG